rnacentral:rRNA from 1 species
AGAGUUUGAUCCUGGCUCAGGACGAACGCUGGCGGCGUGCCUAAUACAUGCAAGUCGAGCGGAGUUUUGAAAAGCUUGCUUUUCAAAACUUAGCGGCGGACGGGUGAGUAACACGUGGGCAACCUGCCCUUGAGACGGGGAUAACUCCGGGAAACCGGAGCUAAUACCGGAUAACACAUAUCUUCGCAUGAAGAUAUGUUAGAAGGUGGCUUUUAGCUACCACUCAAGGAUGGGCCCGCGGCGCAUUAGCUAGUUGGUGAGGUAACGGCUCACCAAGGCGACGAUGCGUAGCCGACCUGAGAGGGUGAUCGGCCACACUGGGACUGAGACACGGCCCAGACUCCUACGGGAGGCAGCAGUAGGGAAUCUUCCGCAAUGGACGAAAGUCUGACGGAGCAACGCCGCGUGAGUGAUGAAGGUUUUCGGAUCGUAAAGCUCUGUUGUUAGGGGAGAACAAGUACCUGUUGAAUAAGCAGGUACCUUGACGGUACCUAACCAGAAAGCCACGGCUAACUACGUGCCAGCAGCCGCGGUAAUACGUAGGUGGCAAGCGUUGUCCGGAAUUAUUGGGCGUAAAGCGCGCGCAGGCGGUUCCUUAAGUCUGAUGUGAAAGCCCACGGCUCAACCGUGGAGGGUCAUUGGAAACUGGGGAACUUGAGUGCAGAAGAGGAGAGCGGAAUUCCACGUGUAGCGGUGAAAUGCGUAGAGAUGUGGAGGAACCCCGAUGGCGAAGGCGGCUCUCUGGGCUGUUACUGACGCUGAGGCGCGAAAGCGUGGGGAGCGAACAGGAUUAGAUACCCUGGUAGUCCACGCCGUAAACGAUGGAUACUCGCUGCGAGCUAAAGAUUGUUCGUGGCUUAGGGAAACCGAUAAGUAUCCCACCUGGGGAGUACGCCGGCAACGGUGAAACUCAAAGGAAUUGACGGGGGCCCGCACAAGUGGUGGAGCAUGUGGUUUAAUUCGAUGAUACGCGAGGAACCUUACCUAGGCUAGAAUGCGCGUGACCGGCUCAGAGAUGAGCUUUUCCUUCGGGACACAAAGCAAGGUGCUGCAUGGCCGUCGUCAGCUCGUGCCGUGAGGUGUUGGGUUAAGUCCCGCAACGAGCGCAACCCCUAUGGUUAGUUGCCAGCACGUAAUGGUGGGGACUCUAGCCAGACUGCCUGCGCAAGCAGUGAGGAAGGCGGGGACGACGUCAGGUCAUCAUGGCCCUUACGCCUAGGGCGACACACGUGCUACAAUGGACGGUACAGCGGGUAGCUACUGGGCGACCAGAUGCCAAUCUCGAAAAGCCGUUCUCAGUUCGGAUCGGAGUCUGCAACUCGACUCCGUGAAGCUGGAAUCACUAGUAAUCGCGCAUCAGCCAUGGCGCGGUGAAUACGUUCCCGGGCCUUGUACACACCGCCCGUCAAGCCAUGAAAGUCUGGUAGACCUGAAGCUGGUGCUCCGCAACGAAGCCAGUUAGGGUAGAACAGGUAAUUAGGGCUAAGUCGUAA